rnacentral:rRNA from 1 species
CGAAGCCGCGAGGCGGAGCAAAUACCCAGAAAUAAAGUCCCAGUUCGGACUGCAGCCUGCAACCCGGCUGCACGAAGCCGGAAUCGCUAGUAAUCGCAGAUCAGCAUGCUGCGGUGAGUACGUUCCCGGGUCUUGUACACACCGCCCGUCACACCACGAGAGUUUACAACACCCGAAGUCAGUGGCCUAACCGCAAGGAGGGAGCUGCCUAAGGUGGGGUAGAUGAUUGGGGUGAAGUCGUAACAAGGUAUC